rnacentral:tRNA from 1 species
GCGCCCGUAGCUCAGUCGGUAGAGCUGCUCCCUUUUAAGGAGAAGGUCGCAGGUUCGAUUCCUGCCGGGCGCACCA